rnacentral:tRNA from 1 species
GUGGGCGUAGCUCAGUCGGUUAGAGCGCCAGGUUGUGGCCCUGGAGGUCGCGGGUUCGAGUCCCGUCGCUCACC